GACCGUGUGGCCUAACGGAUAAGGCGUCGGACUUCGGAUCCGGAGAUUGCAGGUUCGAGUCCUACCAUGGUCG
rnacentral:tRNA from 1 species